AUACGACUUUUCGGCAAUGGCGGUCGUAUAAAUUCGGAUAUAAAUCGCCCGGAACUAUAACAAUACAUGAAAGUGACGUUAUCCGUAUUUUGUCGUUUGAAACUUUUUUAAAUAUUUUUAUUUUUUUUUUUUUUUGACGUGCCUAUAACACGUACCAUAUAGUAUGGCGAAAUAUUGACGGGUUGUCUAUAAUAAGGUAAGAACAUACGGAAUACGGUUUUAAUGAAACUAUCAGCCACAAAAUAUCUAUAAUAUUAAUUUAAUUAUUUGUUUUACGGUGCGAGGUUUCAACGUUGUCGCGUUGCGUGCGGUUUUAAUUUUAUUAUUUCGAUUAUGGUACGCGGGUAUUUAUGUUUUAUUCGUUUUAAAACGUUCACAAUUCAAAAUCUAACAGAAAAAUGCACCGGUUCUUAUCUUGUAAAAAUAUACAUGUGUACACAUGUAUGGGUAUUAAAAUUCGAAAUCGGUCGCCGUCGUGAACCGACGGAGUCUCAUACGUUCGACGGUAUUGACCUUAUUGCAUCAUUGUCGACGAGAUUGUUGAACACUCUUUAAUGCAUUAGUAUCUGCAGUGUGCAGCGUUUUGUUUUUGUUUUUGUUUUUGUUUUUUUCUAUCGAAUAGACUUUUCGGAUCCCUAGCGAAUUUAUUUCAGCGGCUUCGUUCGGUAGGGGUGACGGGAGAAAGUCAACCGGGUAAUAUUCGUUCCGGACUAACUGUCAGAGCCUUUUAGCGGCAUUUUCGGCUCUUUGGGUUUAGGGAGAGAUGGGGAAAUAUCUAAAAAUGUUCCCGCGGACAAUAUAAAUCCGUGGUUCGAUUAUUCUAUUUUCUUCGUGGCUCUUAACGAUACGAUUAUUAAAUGUUAAAAUAUACUCAAAACAAAUGCUGAAAUGACGCGAAAAUGUGUCUGAUUCUCCGUGAACGUGAACAUUUUAAAUAUAAAUACUCAUUACGAAAUGCAAUAUUCGAGAGCAGCGAUACAUUUUUUUUUUAAUAGAGGGUAGGGGUGUUGAAUAAGUCAUUUUCGACAAAUUUGGUGAGUACGUCCCAAUUCAAGAUCCAAGAUUAUUGUAUAAAAUUAUAUCGGAACGGUGAAUUAACCUAUACGAUGCGUGUUUUUUGUUCGAAAAAUUGAUAAAAAAAAACUAUUUCUAAAAUCGUUUAAAAUUAUUGCACUAUUACUAAGCGAUUCGCGUCGAAAGAAGAUAAUAAUUUGGGAUUUUAGUCGAUUUGUAUAUUUCGUUAUUUUAAUGUUGGUAUUUUAACGUAAACGACGAGAAUGACUAGAAAAACGUUGCAAAUAAUUUUUUUUUUUCAGAUUUAACAUUCCGAUUUUUACAACUGGAACAGCAACGCGAC
rnacentral:lncRNA from 1 species